rnacentral:sRNA from 1 species
UGCUAGGCUGACCUGAGGAUGCUGGC